rnacentral:rRNA from 1 species
GUGGCGUACGGGUGAGUAAUAAAUAGGUGACUUACUCCAUGAACGGUGAUAAUUGAAAUAACUUUCUUGUAAACACCGAUAGUCUAACAUAAACUAUAUAUUUUGUUAGUAAAGUAAUUAGAUUAGUCAUGGAAUAGGCUUAUUCUAGAUUAGAUAGUUGGUGGGGUAAUGGCCUACCAAGUCUACGAUCUAUAGCUAUCCUUAAAGGGUGAUUAGCCACACUAGAAUUGAAAGAAGGUCUAGUUUCCUACGGGAAGCAGCAGUGAGGAAUAUUGGGCAAUGAGGGAAACCUUGACCCAGUGAUACCACGUGAGUGAUGAAGGCAUUAACUUGUUGUAAAACUCUUUUAUAGUUUAAGAAUUUGACUAGACUAUGAAUAAGUGCCGGCAAAUUUUGUGCCAGCAACCGCGGUGAGACAAAAGGCACGAAUGUUACUCGGUUUUAAUGGGUUUAAAGGGUGUGUAGGUUUUUUUAUAAGUCAAGUUUAUGGAUACGGCAUAACCGUGGAUAUGGGUUUGAUACUGUAUUAAUUGAGAUUGAUGGAAGUUAAUGGAAUUUCUAGUGUAAAGGUGAAAUUUGUAGAUACUAGAAGGAACAUCCAGGGGCGAAGGCGAUUAACUAUUUCAAUCUGACACUGAGACACGAAAGCGUGGGGAGUAAAAAGGAUUAGAGACCCUUGUAAUCCACGCUGUAAAAGAUGAGUAUUUGAUAUUGUUAAACUUCGUGUUUAGUUGAUGUCUAAGCA